UACGUAGGGUGCAAGCGUUAAUCGGAAUUACUGGGCGUAAAGCGUGCGCAAGCGGUUAUGCAAGACAGAUGUGAAAUCCCCGGGCUCAACCUGGGAACUGCAUUUGUGACUGCAUGGCUAGGGUACGGUAGAGGGGGAUGGAAUUCCGCGUGUAGCAGUGAAAUGCGUAGAUAUGCGGAGGAACACCGAUGGCGAAGGCAAUCCCCUGGACCUGUACUGACGCUCAUGCACGAAAGCGUGGGGAGCAAACAGG
rnacentral:rRNA from 1 species